GACUGUAUCCUAGACCCGUGGGGCUGGGAAGGGGCGGAGGGGCCAGGCGGGAGGGGCGCCCAGGGCCAGCCCGUGUCGCAGGAUCCUUCACUGAGUCCUUCCACCCGCCAGUCCGCGGGGACAGUGGCGGUCGGGAUGUGGCCGAGCUCUUCUACCGGAAGCUGACGGGACUGCCAGGAGACGAGUCCCCGGUUGUCAUGGUAACCAGCGGCGGGAGGCGGCAUCACGAUGGCCAUCAUUUCAUUCACAUCAGACACAGCGGCCUCUAUUUGGUGGUCACAACUUCAGAAAACGUUUCUCCCUUCAGCCUUCUAGAACUGCUCUCCAGGUUGGCCACCCUUCUGGGCGAUUACUGUGGCUCCCUGGGCGAGGGGACCAUCUUCCGCAAUGUGGCUCUGGUAUACGAACUCCUGGAUGAAGUGCUGGACUAUGGCUAUGUACAGACCACAUCCACGGAGAUGCUGAGGAAUUUCAUCCAGACGGAAGCUGUGGUCAGCAAGCCCUUCAGCCUCUUUGACCUCAGCAGUGUUGGCUUGUUUGGGGCUGAGACACAACAGAGCAAAGUGGCCCCCAGCAGUGCAGCCAGCCGCCCCGUCCUGUCCAGUCGCUCUGACCAGAGCCAAAAGAAUGAAGUUUUUUUGGAUGUGGUCGAGAGAUUGUCUGUACUGAUAGCAUCUAAUAGAUGCGCAUUGGCUUGACAGAAGAGUUUUGUGUGGGGAAGUCAGAGCUGAGAGGUUAUGGGCCAGGAAUCCGGGUCGAUGAAGUCUCGUUUCACAGCUCCGUGAAUCUGGACGAGUUUGAGUCUCAUCGAAUCCUCCGCUUGCAACCACCUCAGGGCGAGCUGACUGUGAUGCGAUACCAACUCUCCGAUGACCUCCCCUCACCGCUCCCCUUCCGGCUCUUCCCCUCUGUGCAGUGGGACCGAGGCUCAGGCCGGCUCCAGGUUUAUCUAAAGUUGCGAUGUGACCUGCCCUCAAAGAGGUAAGAGUGAGGCCGGCGUGGCCGAGUUCAGCUCUGUGG
rnacentral:sRNA from 1 species